rnacentral:rRNA from 1 species
GAUGAACGCUGGCGGCGUGCCUAAUACAUGCAAGUCGAGCGAAGCGGGGAAGGGUGACUAAGACGUGGAUAACCUCCUAUAGGCAUGGGAUACAUUCGGGAAACUGUAGCUAAACCGGCUACUUAUAGGUGGAUCCGCGCUGCAUGAGCUAGUUGGUAAGGUAACGGCGUACCAAGGCAACGAUGCAUAGCCGACCUGAUAGGGUGAUCGGCCACACUGAAACUGAGACACAGUCCAGACUCUUACGCGAGGCAGCAGUAGGGAAUCUUCCGCAAUGGGCGAAAGCCUGACGGAGCAAAGCCGCGUGAGUGAUGAGGGUCUUCGGAUCGUAAAACUCUGUUAUUAGGGAAGCGGUACCUAAUCAGAAAGCCACGGCUAACUACGUGCCAGCAGCCGCGGUAAUAC